rnacentral:rRNA from 1 species
AUUGAACGCUGGCGGCAUGCCUUACACAUGCAAGUCGAACGGCAGCGCGGGAGCAAUCCUGGCGGCGAGUGGCGAACGGGUGAGUAAUAUAUCGGAACGUGCCCAGUAGUGGGGGAUAGCCCGGCGAAAGCCGGAUUAAUACCGCAUGAGACCUGAGGGUGAAAGCGGGGGAUCGCAAGACCUCGCGCUAUUGGAGCGGCCGAUAUCAGAUUAGCUAGUUGGUGGGGUAAAGGCCUACCAAGGCAACGAUCUGUAGUUGAUCUGAGAGGACGACCAGCCACACUGGGACUGAGACACGGCCCAGACUCCUACGGGAGGCAGCAGUGGGGAAUUUUGGACAAUGGGCGCAAGCCUGAUCCAGCAAUGCCGCGUGCAGGAAGAAGG